ensembl:lncRNA MEG3 maternally expressed 3
CGGAGAGCAGAGAGGGAGCGCGCCUUGGCUCGCUGGCCUUGGCGGCGGCUCCUCAGGAGAGCUGGGGCGCCCACGAGAGGAUCCCUCACCCGGGUCUCUCCUCAGGGAUGACAUCAUCCGUCCACCUCCUUGUCUUCAAGGACCACCUCCUCUCCAUGCUGAGCUGCUGCCAAGGGGCCUGCUGCCCAUCUACACCUCACGAGGGCACUAGGAGCACGGUUUCCUGGAUCCCACCAACAUACAAAGCAGCCACUCACUGACCCCCAGGACCAGGAUGGCAAAGGAUGAAGAGGACCGGAACUGACCAGCCAGCUGUCCCUCUUACCUAAAGACUUAAACCAAUGCCCUAGUGAGGGGGCAUUGGGCAUUAAGCCCUGACCUUUGCUAUGCUCAUACUUUGACUCUAUGAGUACUUUCCUAUAAGUCUUUGCUUGUGUUCACCUGCUAGCAAACUGGAGUGUUUCCCUCCCCAAGGGGGUGUCAGUCUUUGUCGACUGACUCUGUCAUCACCCUUAUGAUGUCCUGAAUGGAAGGAUCCCUUUGGGAAAUUCUCAGGAGGGGGACCUGGGCCAAGGGCUUGGCCAGCAUCCUGCUGGCAACUCCAAGGCCCUGGGUGGGCUUCUGGAAUGAGCAUGCUACUGAAUCACCAAAGGCACGCCCGACCUCUCUGAAGAUCUUCCUAUCCUUUUCUGGGGGAAUGGGGUCGAUGAGAGCAACCUCCUAGGGUUGUUGUGAGAAUUAAAUGAGAUAAAAGAGGCCUCAGGCAGGAUCUGGCAUAGAGGAGGUGAUCAGCAAAUGUUUGUUGAAAAGGUUUGACAGGUCAGUCCCUUCCCACCCCUCUUGCUUGUCUUACUUGUCUUAUUUAUUCUCCAACAGCACUCCAGGCAGCCCUUGUCCACGGGCUCUCCUUGCAUCAGCCAAGCUUCUUGAAAGGCCUGUCUACACUUGCUGUCUUCCUUCCUCACCUCCAAUUUCCUCUUCAACCCACUGCUUCCUGACUCGCUCUACUCCGUGGAAGCACGCUCACAAAGGCACGUGGGCCGUGGCCCGGCUGGGUCGGCUGAAGAACUGCGGAUGGAAGCUGCGGAAGAGGCCCUGAUGGGGCCCACCAUCCCGGACCCAAGUCUUCUUCCUGGCGGGCCUCUCGUCUCCUUCCUGGUUUGGGCGGAAGCCAUCACCUGGAUGCCUACGUGGGAAGGGACCUCGAAUGUGGGACCCCAGCCCCUCUCCAGCUCGAAAUCCCUCCACAGCCACGGGGACACCCUGCACCUAUUCCCACGGGACAGGCUGGACCCAGAGACUCUGGACCCGGGGCCUCCCCUUGAGUAGAGACCCGCCCUCUGACUGAUGGACGCCGCUGACCUGGGGUCAGACCCGUGGGCUGGACCCCUGCCCACCCCGCAGGAACCCUGAGGCCUAGGGGAGCUGUUGAGCCUUCAGUGUCUGCAUGUGGGAAGUGGGCUCCUUCACCUACCUCACAGGGCUGUUGUGAGGGGCGCUGUGAUGCGGUUCCAAAGCACAGGGCUUGGCGCACCCCACUGUGCUCUCAAUAAAUGUGUUUCCUGUCUUAACAAAAACUGAU